AUUGAACGCUGGCGGCAGGCCUAACACAUGCAAGUCGAGCGGAUGAAGGGAGCUUGCUCCUGGAUUCAGCGGCGGACGGGUGCGUGAUGCCUAGGAAUCUGCCUGGUAGUGGGGGAUAACGUCCGGAAACGGGCGCUAAUACCGCAUACGUCCUGAGGGAGAAAGUGGGGGAUCUUCGGACCUCACGCUAUCAGAUGAGCCUAGGUCGGAUUAGCUAGUUGGUGGGGUAAAGGCCUACCAAGGCGACGAUCCGUAACUGGUCUGAGAGGAUGAUCAGUCACACUGGAACUGAGACACGGUCCAGACUCCUACGGGAGGCAGCAGUGGGGAAUAUUGGACAAUGGGCGAAAGCCUGAUCCAGCCAUGCCGCGUGUGUGAAGAAGGUCUUCGGAUUGUAAAGCACUUUAAGUUGGGAGGAAGGGCAGUAAGUUAAUACCUUGCUGUUUUGACGUUACCAACAGAAUAAGCACCGGCUAACUUCGUG
rnacentral:rRNA from 1 species